rnacentral:rRNA from 1 species
CAGCAUGGAGAGCUUGCUCUCUGAUGGCGAGUGGCGAACGGGUGAGUAAUACAUCGGAACGUGUCCGUUUGUGGGGGACAACCGUCCGAAAGGAUGGCUAAUACCGCAUAAGACCUGAGGGUGAAAGCCGGGGACCGCAAGGCCCGGCGCAGACGGAGCGGCCGAUGAUUGAUUAGCUAGUUGGGGAGGUAAAGGCUCACCAAGGCGACGAUCAAUAGCUGGUCUGAGAGGACGACCAGCCACACUGGAACUGAGACACGGUCCAGACUCCUACGGGAGGCAGCAGUGGGGAAUUUUGGACAAUGGGGGCAACCCUGAUCCAGCCAUGCCGCGUGCGGGAAGAAGGCCUUCGGGUUGUAAACCGCUUUUGUCAGGGACGAAAAGCUCCGGAGUAAUAUGCCGGAGUGCUGACGGUACCUGAAGAAUAAGCACCGGCUAACUACGUGCCAGCAGCCGCGGUAAUACGUAGGGUGCAAGCGUUAAUCGGAAUUACUGGGCGUAAAGCGUGCGCAGGCGGUUGGGUAAGACAGAUGUGAAAUCCCCGGGCUUAACCUGGGAACUGCAUUUGUGACUGUCCGACUGGAGUACGUCAGAGGGGGGUGGAAUUCCACGUGUAGCAGUGAAAUGCGUAGAUAUGUGGAAGAA